GUAGGUGGCAAGCGUUGUCCGGAAUUAUUGGGCGUAAAGCGCGCGCAGGCGGUUCUUUAAGUCUGAUGUGAAAGCCCACGGCUCAACCGUGGAGGGUCAUUGGAAACUGGAGAACUUGAGUACAGAGGAGGAAAGCGGAAUUCCACGUGUAGCGGUGAAAUGCGUAGAGAUGUGGAGGAACACCAGUGGCGAAGGCGGCUUUCUGGUCUGUAACUGACGCUGAGGCGCGAAAGCGUGGGGAGCAAACAGGGAUUAGAUACCCUGGUAGUCCACGCCGUAAACGAUGAGUGCUAAGUGUUAGGGGGGUUUCCGCCCCCUUAGUGCUGCAGCUAACGCAUUAAGCACUCCGCCUGGGGAGUACGGCCGCAAGGCUG
rnacentral:rRNA from 1 species